GAGGCCUUAUCUUAAUUAAAGUGUCUGAGUUGCAUUCAGGAGAUGUAGUGUAUAGUUACAGGUCUU
rnacentral:tRNA from 1 species